ensembl:misc_RNA Metazoa_SRP Metazoan signal recognition particle RNA
GCUGGGCAUGAUGGCUCAUGCCUGUAGUCCCAGCUACUCAGGGGGCUGAGGCAUGAGAAUCGCUUGAGCCCAGGAGGUGGAGGUUGCAGUGAGCGGAGAUCGUCCCACUGCACCCCAGCCUGGGCGACAGAGUGAGACUCUGUCUCAA